rnacentral:rRNA from 1 species
AACGAACGCUGGCGGCAUGCCUAACACAUGCAAGUCGAACGAGACCUUCGGGUCUAGUGGCGCACGGGUGCGUAACGCGUGGGAACCUGCCCUUAGGUUCGGAAUAACUCCCCGAAAGGGGUGCUAAUACCGGAUAAUGUCUUCGGACCAAAGAUUUAUCGCCUUUGGAUGGGCCCGCGUUGGAUUAGCUAGUUGGUAGGGUAAAAGCCUACCAAGGCGACGAUCCAUAGCUGGUCUGAGAGGAUGAUCAGCCACACUGGGACUGAGACACGGCCCAGACUCCUACGGGAGGGAGCAGUGGGGAAGAUGGAACAAUGGGCGAAAGCCGAAUCCAGCAAGGCCGCGUGAGUGAGGAAGGCCUUAGGGUUGAAAAGGUCUUUUACCCGGGAUGAUAAGAAAGGAACCGGGAGAAAAAGCACCGGCUAACCCCGU